AACUCCGAUGUUUUGGGGUGUUGUGCAGGAGAAGAAAUACAGGCAAUACCCUGAAUUCUUUCAUAGGAAAAAAAAAUUGCCUGGGCUCCAGCAUCAGCAAACCACUGAUGAGGCUUCAGCAUCAGCAUGAAGUGUAUUUCUACACACCUUUGUAAGGACUUGAGUAACUCGUAUUGAAACAUCUACUGUACAGAGCAGCUCUGAGCAGAGAAGGGAACUGCUGCCCCCAGAACACAUCUUUGGUUUGUUUUAUACAUCCUACAAUUACGUGCCUGGAAAAUAAAACCCAUUCCUGGCCGCUGUGGGAAAGCUGUGCCAGAGCCAAAGGUCCACUCCUCAACACAAGUUCAGCAGAACUUCUGGUUCUGCUCUGCUGCCAGAAGCCCUGCUCCACACAGCGCUGCUCACCUUCUGCCUCCGCAUCUGAGGGACCCGGUGGGCUUUGCUCCUUGCAACCUUAGACAUGUCAUGUCUUUUUUUGUGUAUGGCAUAAUGUCAUCGUUUGUAUAGAGCUGUAUGUAAGGGAACAUGCUGUUGUGUUGAAGCAUGUUUAUUUAUUCUAGUCCAAAUUCCUUUUGGAAUUGUGUAUAUGCUGUUUCCUCUGCUCUUCGUAUUUCUGUCCAGCAGAACAUUAAAAAGAAGGGGGAUCUAAACCCCUUUUAAAUACUAGUAUUUAAAUGUCAUCAUGGUGAGACCAUAUGAUUUCUAUUCAUCCACUCCUUUUCCAAAAUGUUGAAGAAAACCUCAUAGUCACACACGUAUAAUUAUUGCGUAGAGGUAUCAUCAUACAUCCAGAGUAACUGUAAUAAGGUCCUGUACAUCAAAUGGAUGAUUUUUUUCUAAUGUUUUUAUUACUAGAUAUGUUUCCUAACUAAGAAUUUUUCCUUGUCCCACACGUAUAAUUAUUGUGUAGAGGUAUCAUCGUACAUCCAGAGUAACUGUAAUAAGGUCCUGUACAUCAAAUGGAUUAUUUUUUUCUAAUGUUUUUAUUACUAGAUAUGUUUCCUAACUAAGAAUUUUUCCCCUGUUGCAGAGUUUUGCUUGUUAAAAAAUAAAUAUCUGGAUACACUUGCCUGGUGUCUGUUU
rnacentral:lncRNA from 1 species